AGGACGAACGCUGGCGGCGUGCUUAACACAUGCAAGUCGAACGAGGCCCUACCUUCGGGUAGGUGACCUAGUGGCGAACGGGUGAGUAACACGUGGGCAACCUACCCUCAGCUCUGGGAUAACCCCGGGAAACCGGAGCUAAAUACCGGAUAUGACCUGGAACGACAUCGUUCUUGGUGGAAAGUUUUUCGGCUGAGGAUGGGCCCGCGGCCUAUCAGCUUGUUGGUGGGGUAAUGGCCUACCAAGGCGACGACGGGUAG
rnacentral:rRNA from 1 species